GAGGCGGGACAUCAAGGAGCUGGACAGAAGAGGUGCAGAGCUGGGGAGGCUGGAGCAGGAGGAGGACCCCAUACACUUCCUCCAGACCUUGCAGUCUCUCCUGGGUUCCCAAGAGUCCAAAGUUUAUCACAGUGUCACUCUGUCUUCGGACCUCUCGUUUGAUGAAGUUACAGAAACCCUUAGUACCUUGCAACCAAGGGUGGAGAAGAUUUGCCGUAAAAGUCGGAAGAGGAUUUCUGAUAAAGUGCAACAUGUUAUGAUUACCCUGCCAAUGGGCCCAGUAACAAGACAAGACUUCUUAAAGUAUUCUUGUAGCCUGACUUUUGAAUCAUGGAAUCUUAACAAACACCUCUCUCUACGGGGGAGAAAGGUUGUGUGCAAGCGGGCAUCCCAUGACCGUAUUUACAGAGUGCUUUUCGACGAAGCCCUAACUGAUUGCUGCUAUUGGGAGGCUGAGUGGAAGAGCAGGGAUAACAACAAUUUAGCUGUGGUUGUGUUAUGGGAAAAGGAAGAGAGUGAUAACGAUGACAGUGAGGAUGAGGAGGAUGAUGGUGACCAAAUCAUUGCUAUUGUUCCUGCUGACGAUGAGGAUGAUGAAGAUGACAACAGUAACAGUGAAGAUGAUGACAGUGACGAAGAUGAUGAUGAUAAUGACACGCAUGAUUCCUCCUCAAGCGCGUUAAGCUAUUGUAGUGAGGAUGAUGAUGAUGAUGAUGAUGAAUCUGAUGGUGACUCUGAUGAUGAUGACGAUGAUGAGGAGGAUAAGCAAUGUUUGAUGUUUCAUUUCGGCCCCGAUGGCUGCAGUUUCUCAGACAGGCAGAGUGGUGAAAAUAUUGAUCUCUCAACUAUAACCAGCUCCAGGAUAGGGGUGUAUCUUGACCACAA